rnacentral:rRNA from 1 species
UUAAAAGAACUAGAGUGCACUUAAUUGUGGCUCGAACCCUUUUAAAUACCACCCAAAUUUUUAAGACUUGGUUGCAUGAUUUGAGAGAAUCAUUGCAAUUGAGUAAAAGUAACUUCUUUAUUGAAUGUUACAUUACCCCCUCUUUUCUUUUUACUCUUUUUUCCAAAAUACACAAGUUUAAAUGAAUGUAAAACCCCCUUUAAUUAUAAAAUAACUUUUAACAAUGGAUCUCUAGGCUCUCACAUCGAUGAAGAACACAGUGAAAUGUGAUAAGUAAUGUGAAUUGCAGAAUUCAGUGAAUCAUCGAAUCUUUGAACGCACCUUGCACCUUUUGGUAUUCCAAAAGGUACACCUGUUUGAGUGUCAUGAAAACCUCUCAUAAAAAUAAUUUGUUUUAUUUUUGUGGAUGUUGAGUGUUGCUGUGAACCACAGCUCACUUGAAAUAUAUAAGUCAUUUUUGAGAUAAAGUUGGAUUGACUUGGUGUAAUAAUAUUACCAYYACAUCAAGGAAAGUAGCAAUACUUGCCAUCUUUAUUUUAGUUUCUUGACUCCUAAAAACUAUAAUGAUCAUUUUUUAAGACCUCAAAUCAGGUGGGACUACCCGCUGAACUUAAGCAUAUCAAUAAGCGGAGGAAAAGAAACUAACAAGGAUUCCCCUAGUAACGGCGAGUGAAGAGGGAAAAGCCCAAAUUUGUAAUCUGGCUCUUUUAGAGUCU